rnacentral:rRNA from 1 species
UACGUAGGGGCAAGCGUUGUCCGGAUUUAUUGGGCGUAAAGAGCUCGUAGGUGGUUCGGUAAGUCGGAUGUGAAAUCUCCAGGCUCAACCUGGAGGGGUCAUUCGAUACUGCCGUGACUAGAGUUCGGUAGGGGAGUGUGGAAUUCCUGGUGGAGCGGUGAAAUGCGCAGAUAUCAGGAGGAACACCUAUGGCGAAGGCAGCUCGCUGGGACGUGACUGACGCUGAGGAGCGAAAGCAUGGGGAGCGAACAGG